GACGAACCGUGCGAACGUUAUUCGGAAUCACUGGGCUUAAAGCGCGUGUAGGCGGGACGGCACGUCGGUCGCUGAAAGCCCCCGGCUCAACCGGGGAACGGGCGCCGAUACGACCGCCCUGGAGGGACGUAGGGGGACCUGGAACUUCCGGUGGAGCGGUGAAAUGCGUAGAUAUCGGAAGGAACACCGGUGGCGAAAGCGGCGCGCUGGACUCCCUACUGACGCUGAGGCGGCGAAAGCUAGGGGAGCAAACGGGG
rnacentral:rRNA from 1 species